rnacentral:lncRNA from 1 species
UUUGCAUGAUUGCUCCUAACAUGUUGAUGGAUGUUUGAGGCUUGAUUGUGAAUUUUUCUCAUUUUCCAUUUCUGUUUUAUGCACAUGUUUGUAUGGUGUGACAAUGUGUGUCACACUAUUGGAUGUCUAACUUGUGAAUUUUCAUUUCCAUAUCAAAUGAGCUUCUCUGUUUAUGAUUUUUGGUAUGAUGAUUGUAUUGGACAUGUUGUAUGCUCACAAAAAAUUUCAUAGUUG